UGCUUGAAUGCAAAGCAGUUAAUUAAUUCUAAUGGUAUUGCACAUUAAUCUUGGCUUCAACGCAGUCUAAAACUUGCCUAAGCCCUGUUGGUUGCUGGGGAGUCUUUGAUUCUUGUGUGUGUGUCUAAUUUACUAAUGAACUUGGUGUCAUUUAGGGCUGAAGCAAGCACAUCUGAACGGGUCUGGCUGCUCUGGGCAGCUGGGGAAGGGCACCCACAGUGUUCUGAACAGAGUUGGAAGAACACCAGCGCUGAGAUGAGUCAGAGCCUCUCAAAGUGUGUGGUACCAAAGCAAUGCAGCACUGAAACUGUCUGUGCCAGCCUUCAAAGAUGCAUGUAGCCAGGGCCUCCCUUCAGGGGGCCAAUGAUGGAACCAUCAGUUUCAGUGAUGCCAGAAAUUUCCCAAGGAAUAGGAAGAGAACUGACACUUAUUCUGCACCUCCUUGAUGCCAACACCAAGUAUGUUAGGUCUCCGGCUUGCUGAAUGUGAGUGGAAAUGAUGAGUGACACUUCCAGGCCUGGCCCAUAAAAACCUCCCUCACAUGUUUCUCUACCAACCUUGGAAGCCAUGUGUGGAAAAUGGCAGAACUGCCUCCGCUGAUGAGGAACAUAUGAUUUGGCCUGUUACAUGAACAAGAAAUCAAUUUAUAUUGUGCUUGAAACAUUAUACAUUUAGGAAUUUGUUUUGUUGCAGCACUGGCUGUAUCUUAAUUGAAACAUACUCCCACACGAAUACUGCCUGGAAUGGUUUUCCUUGUACCAAAAAAAAUGACAGAUCAACUUUCCUCCUUUUUAAACGAAACUGCUUUCUGGAGACAACUCUGAAAAUCUAGUGGUGUUCUAUGGAGAACAAUCACCUGUUGGCUGAAUGGGCAACACCAGAGACUCACGAGAGAAAGCUUGCCUUGGUCCAGUGCUGCCCAUAUGAGGGACAAUUCUUCCUAAGUAUGGCUCUGUAUUAGCCAUCCCACUUUGCGAAAAGACCUGAUGCUAAAUCCUCCAAACUGGCUUCUAUCAGUUAUAAUAAAGGUGACAUCGUAACCUCUCUCUGCCCCCCUUUUGUUUUACUUUCGAUUUGUUCAGAUUUCAGGUUGCGAAGAUGGCCACUUCUUAUUGAACCCCUUCCGAGACCUUGAAGAUUAUAAUAAUCUUUGGACAAACCAGCAGUCAAGGGUUGAUUAAUUAUAUUACGGUGAUUGUGCAAAUAAUCCUCACAAUUGAAACAAGUGGUAAACUAUGAUUAUGUUUUGGUUCUAGUAUAAUUUUUUUCCUGAAGUGAAUAAAUGCCCUAUUUUUGCUUUAAAUAUUUUUAGUUUUCUACGAAGUGAUCAUUAUUUUUUCCAACUGCUAGGAUUUCUCUGUCAAAGAUUUUUAAACAGUACAGUAAAAUCCUAACCAUAAAUGAAAAGUUGAUAAAUUAUAAAACAUUAAAAUUAAGAAUGUAUGUUCAUCAAAUGGCAUGAUUAGAAGAAUAAAAAGGAAAAGCACAGAAUGGCAGAAGAUAUUUGUAAUACAUGUAUCCAAAAAAGGACUUAUGUCUGGAAUCUAUAAAGAAUCCCAAUGGAUCAAUAAAAGAGAGCACAAUAAAAAAAAUGGGCAAAA